CUGGUAUUGAUAAUUGUUGAAAAAAUGGUGAUUAAUAAUAUGAUAGCUGCUAAUUCAUUUUAUAUUUUUUUAGGUCUAUUUAUUUUUUACAUUCAAUGGCCUAUUUCUUCUGGCCCUCAUACUUUUUAUGUAUUUAAUCCAUAUUCUAAUUGUGUUCUCGCCCAUACUUAAGUUAUCAUGUCUUUCCAUUUUGGAUGUAACGGUUUAUUUAGUGGUAUAUAUUUAGUUGAUGUCUUCUUAGUUGAUACAAUUAUAGUGAAAUGUUCAUUCAAUGUUUUUGCUCUGUCAUGGUCGUUUUCUAUUGGUACUAAGACCUGCUUUAGUCUUUAGUGGUAUACUUUGCGAGUGUUCUUUUUCUAUCUGACCUGGCCCUGCUAAGUGAGCUUUUCUCGUCACUUGGCGUUCGUCGUCCGAUUUCGUCUUUGUUAACUUUUACUAAACUUCUCAGUCUCUGAAACUACUGGGCCAAAUUUUAUUGAACAUAUGUCUUUUAGGGAGUCGCUUGAUAGUUUUGGUUAAACUUUACAACAAUUACCAUUGGUGUAUCUAAUUUAAUAACUGUGUUGGAUAACCCUGCCUGUCUGCCAAGUUAGCCGACAUGGCUUUAAUUAAAACAUAGGGACAAAAUGCAAGUGUUUUCUAUAAAGAAACGUUAUGAAUAACGAAAACCUGAUGUGAAAAACAUGUCUAAUCUGACAUCGGACUCGGACUUAUUUUCAAAUGAGUUUAACUGUGUGUAUGCUUCAUAUGUGUUUCUUUAUUCUACAUUGGCUAGAGGUAUAGGGGGAGAGUUGGGAUCUCCCAAAACAUGAUUAACCUCGCCGCAUUUUAGCGCCUGUCCUAAGUCAGGAACCUCUGGCCUUUGUUAGUCUUGUAUAUUUUUUUUAAUUUAGUCUCGAACUGAUACACAAUUUUAUUUAGGGGCCAGCUGAUAACACCUCCG
rnacentral:lncRNA from 1 species